UGCCUCAUGGUGUAAUUGGCAGCACGAGUGGUUUUGGUCCACUUAGUUCAGGUUCGAGUCCUGGUGAGGCAGC
rnacentral:tRNA from 2 species